rnacentral:rRNA from 1 species
GAUGAACGCUGGCGGCGUGCUUAACACAUGCAAGUCGAACGAAGCACCUCUCCCGAAGAUUGACACAGCUUGCUGUAGAUUGAUUCAUUUGAGGUGACUGAGUGGCGGACGGGUGAGUAACGCGUGGGUAACCUGCCUCAUAGAGGGGGACAACAGUUGGAAACGACUGCUAAUACCGCAUAGUAAGAAGAAUUCGCAUGUUUUCUUCUUGAAAGAUUUAUCGCUAUGAGGUGGACCCGCGUCUGAUUAGCUAGUUGGUAAGGUAACGGCUUACCAAGGCGACGAUCAGUAGCCGGCUUGAGAGAGUGAACGGCCACAUUGGGACUGAGACACGGCCCAAACUCCUACGGGAGGCAGCAGUGGGGAAUAUUGCACAAUGGGGGAAACCCUGAUGCAGCGACGCCGCGUGAGUGAAGAAGUAUUUCGGUAUGUAAAGCUCUAUCAGCAGGGAAGAUAAUGACGGUACCUGACUAAGAAGCCCCGGCUAACUACGUG